AGCCCAUCCUUCCUGUAUAGGCUCCCGCUUUCCCAAAAGGUUCCUCGGUUCCUAAUCAAUCUAAACCCCUCCUCCCUACACCAUCAUCUCUUCUACGCAUUGAGACCCUGAAGUUUUGCCUGUCUACCUGGCCCUGCGCAUGGAACUGGGCACAUUUCAGA